rnacentral:rRNA from 1 species
CCUGAUCUGCCAUGCCGCGUGAGUGACGAAGGCCCUAGGGUCGUAAAGCUCUUUCGCCUGUGAUGAUAAUGCAGUAGCAGGUAAAGAAACCCCGGCUAACUCCGUGCCAGCAGCCGCGGUAAUACGGAGGGGGUUAGCGUUGUUCGGAAUUACUGGGCGUAAAGCGCGCGUAGGCGGAUUGGAAAGUUGGGGGUGAAAUCCCGGGGCUCAACCCCGGAACUGCCUCCAAAACUUCCAGUCUGGAGUUCGAGAGAGGUGAGUGGAAUUCCGAGUGUAGAGGUGAAAUUCGUAGAUAUUCGGAGGAACACCAGUGGCGAAGGCGGCUCACUGGCUCGAUACUGACGCUGAGGUGCGAAAGUGUGGGGAGCAAACAGGAUUAGAUACCCUGGUAGUCCACACCGUAAACGAUGAAUGCCAGUCGUCGGCAAGCAUGCUUGUCGGUGACACACCUAACGGAUUAAGCAUUCCGCCUGGGGAGUACGGCCGCAAGGUUAAAACUCAAAGGAAUGGACGGA